UACGUAGGGUGCGAGCGUUGUCCGGAAUUAUUGGGCGUAAAGAGCUCGUAGGCGGCCUGUCGCGUCGGAUGUGAAAGCCCGGGGCUUAACCCCGGGUCUGCAUUCGAUACGGGCAGGCUAGAGUUCGGUAGGGGAGAUCGGAAUUCCUGGUGUGAGCGGUGGAAAUGACGCAGAUAUCAGGAGGAACACCGGUGGCGAAGGCGGAUCUCUGGGCCGAUACUGACGCUGAGGAGCGAAAGCGUGGGGAGCGAACAGG
rnacentral:rRNA from 1 species